rnacentral:rRNA from 1 species
GAUGAACGCUGGCGGCGUGCCUAAUACAUGCAAGUCGAGCGAACAGACGAGGAGCUUGCUCCUCUGACGUUAGCGGCGGACGGGUGAGUAACACGUGGAGAACCUACCUAUAAGACUGGGAUAACUUCGGGAAACCGGAGCUAAUACCGGAUAAUAUAUUGAACCGCAUGGUUCAAUAGUGAAAGACGGUUUUGCUGUCACUUAUAGAUGGAUCCGCGCCGCAUUAGCUAGUUGGUAAGGUAACGGCUUACCAAGGCAACGAUGCGUAGCCGACCUGAGAGGGUGAUCGACCACACUGGAACUGAGACACGCUCCAGACUCCUACGGGAGGCAGCAGUAGGGAAUCUUCCGCAAUGCGCGAAAGCUUGACGGAGCAACGCCGCGUGAGUGAUGAAGGUCUUCGGAUCGUAAAACUCUGUUAUUAGGGAAGAACAAAUGUGUAAGUAACUAUACACGUCUUGACGGUACCUAAUCAGAAAGCCACGGCUAACUACGUG